rnacentral:rRNA from 1 species
UACGUAGGGUGCAAGCGUUAAUCGGAAUUACUGGGCGUAAAGCGUGCGCAGGCGGUUUUGUAAGCCAGAUGUGAAAUCCCCGGGCUUAACCUGGGAAUGGCAUUGGUGACUGCAUCGCUCGAGUAUGGCAGAGGGGGGUAGAAUUCCACGUGUAGCAGUGAAAUGCGUAGAGAUGUGGAGGAAUACCGAUGGCGAAGGCAGCCCCCUGGGCCAAUACUGACGCCUCAUGCACGAAAGCGUGGGGAGCAAACAGG